ensembl:lncRNA
CCAAGGAGGAAGAAGAGUGCAGGGACACAUUAACUUUAAAACAUCAGUUUUAUCCUGAUACUAAAACAGUGAAAGACCUGGAAAGAAGAGAGAGCUACGGACCAAUCUCCUUCAUGAACAUAGAUGCAAAAAUUUUGAACAAAAUCAGGCACAGGCAGGCUUGCUUCGGCUGUUGCUCUAAGUGAUGGCGGAUUGCUGGAGAAGUCAUGUCUAGAAUCUGUGCUGUUGCCUCUGACAGCACUGUGAUUCCAGGUUCGGUUACUGUUCUUCAGUAAAUAGGCCAAAGAAUUCCAAAGGUGGUGCUUGGCACUAACUGCUUCCUUCACUUUCCUCUUCUCUACGUGCAAGGAGCCUGAAGGGUGACUAAAAACAGCACACCUCCAGAUUCCUGGUGUGAAAAUUAAUAAAGGAAACCUCAACUAAGAGUGGAGUGGGGGAGGCCUCUAGAGGGAGCCCUCAUGCCCUACCACUUGUGCCAGUCAGCCCAGAUGGGAAGCGUUAUCCCUCACAUCUCCGACAGGAAAGUCUCUCUACUACCCUGGCGGGAGAAAGGGAGAUUUCUGUUAGCCCAGCAACAAGCGCAGCCAAUGGAAAACACCCCAGCUCAGCCAAUGAGCAGCCGUUGUCACCGUGAACUCUUACUUUCCUCAAGGAACUUUCAUUUUUCCUUUGUUAAUGACUUCCUUGCCCCACUGUCCUUUCUAUAAAAGCUUUCCAUUUUGUGUAACUCCUUGGGGCAUCUCUGCUUGCUAGAUUCCUGAAUCAUUUGGUAAAGACAAUUAGAUCUUCCAGUAUACUCAGUUGAAUUUUGUUUUUUGACACUAGAAAAGCACCUCCUCCCAUCUUCUCUGGUAGUGCUCUAGGCAGUUCCUGGAGCCCCUGGCAAGAUGAAAUCCCCUGGCCCCACAGCCUCAAAGGGAACCCAACUUGCACAAAGCCCACAAGCCCCACCCUUUCAAGGCUUUAUUAUUUCAAUGAUUAUACAAGCAUACCUUGUAACUGCAUUAACAGCAAGACCGUCCAGGGCAUUCUCUGAUCUUCCAACAGGAACCCAGUUUUUGUUUUUCCCAGCUUUCAAUCAAAUUUAAUCUGUGUGAAGAUUCUUUACCCCAAGUAUGUUUUAGACAGUUUUCCCACCCCCAAGUCCUUUUCAGGUUUAAUCUCUGUGUUAUUUUCCUCUCCUUCUUCUUGUUAUUGCUGCUUAAACUCACAAGAGUGUAAUUAAUUUGGUCUUUGUAGCUCCCAAAUGACUAUUUGGGGGUGAAUUAGCCAUGCUCAGUAGCUAGAACUGGGGAUUGAGCUACGUUCAUUCAGCCAUCCCUUUCUGCCAGAUCGUUAGUUAGUAUGUCCGGUGCCAGAGCCAGCCAGGUUCAAGGAGGCCAGAGCUGAGGGAGGGGAAUCCCCAAGGUUCAUGGGGAGGACACCGCAAAGUAGGGACACAUCCCAUCCCCUUAGGGGAAAACCACAAGCUGCAAGGUGCCAAAAGCAGUGAGGGGUUGUGGCAGAGCCCUCGGCUGAGUUACACAUCCUUGUAGACUACUGCCAUUGCUAGCACACUCUCACGCAGGGCCACUCCUGCCCUCUAAGGGGGGAGGUUGGUCACCCAGGUGUGAUGUCUUCUGCAUUUCUUUCAAACCGUGGGCGCUUUAAGAAACAUCCAAUAGGGGCCGGCUCCGUGGCUGAGUGGUUAAGUUCACGCGCUCCGCUGCGACGGCCGAGUGUUUGGAUCCUGGGCACGGACAUGGCACUGCUCAUCAGGUCACGUUGAGGCAG